GGUUCUAUGGCGCAAUUGGUUAGCGCGUCCGGCUGUUACACGAACGCAGUUCAUGCAGCAUUACCGGGAGGUUGAAAGUUCGAGUCUUUCUAGUACCG